GGGAAAAGUGGAAACUCUAAAGGAAAAGGGAAAGAAAAGGAAGAUUAGGAAGUUUUAAGCUUGUGAAAGAUUUUGGAAGGUUGUAGACCUCAGUAGCAAUAGAUCAAGAUCUGCAUCAACCCAGCCAGAGUCACAUCAUUAUUUAUCUUGGGUAUAUUUUGUAAAUUUUAUAUAAAGUUGAUUUUGAAAAUUUGGCAUGUACAUAAAGUUUUAGAGAUAAAGUUGUAUAUGGUUUGAAAGGGAUAUAUAUUGAAGAUUUUAAUUUUGAUGUAAA